GUGUCAGCCGCCGCGGUAAUACGUAGGUGGCAAGCGUUGUCCGGAAUUAUUGGGCGUAAAGCGCGCGCAGGCGGUUCCUUAAGUCUGAUGUGAAAGCCCCCGGCUCAACCGGGGAGGGUCAUUGGAAACUGGGGAACUUGAGUGCAGAAGAGGAGAGCGGAAUUCCACGUGUAGCGGUGAAAUGCGUAGAGAUGUGGAGGAACACCAGUGGCGAAGGCGGCUCUCUGGUCUGUAACUGACGCUGAGGCGCGAAAGCGUGGGGAGCGAACAGGAUUAGAUACCCUGGUAGUCCACGCCGUAAACGAUGAGUGCUAAGUGUUAGAGGGUUUCCGCCCUUUAGUGCUGCAGCAAACGCAUUAAGCACUCCGCCUGGGGAGUACGGCCGCAAGGCUGAAACUCAAAUGAAUUGACGGGG
rnacentral:rRNA from 1 species